ensembl:misc_RNA Metazoa_SRP Metazoan signal recognition particle RNA
ACUGGGUGUGGUGGUGCAUGCCUGUAGUCCCAGUGACUUGGGGGCUGAGGCAAGAGGAUCACUUGAACCUGGGAGGUCGAGGCUGCAGUGAGCCAAGAUUGUGCCACUGCACUCCAGCCUGGGUGACAAAGUGAGACCCUGUCUCAA